CCCGGUAGUUGGGGAUAGCCCGGAGAAAUCCGGAUUAAUACUCCAUAAUAUCUCAACUUCGCAUGUUGAUGAGAUUAAAACUCCGGUGGACAGGGAUGAGCAUGCGUCCUAUUAGCUUGUUGGUAGUGUAAUAGACUACCAAGGCAACGAUAGGUAGGGGGCCUGAGAGGGUUAUCCCCCACACUGGUACUGAGACACGGACCAGACUCCUACGGGAGGCAGCAGUGAGGAAUAUUGGUCAAUGGACGAAAGUCUGAACCAGCCAUGCCGCGUGCAGGAUGAAUGCCCUAUGGGUUGUAAACUGCUUUUAUACGAGAAUAAACCCCCGGACGUGUCCGGGGCUGAAGGUAUCGUAUGAAUAAGGAUCGGCUAACUCCGUGCCAGCAGCCGCGGUAAUGCGGA
rnacentral:rRNA from 1 species